UAGCCUAACGGCUGAACCAGCAACUUGGAGGAAUGUAUAGGAAUAGUAUUUGCACUAACAAAUAGUUGAUGCAAACUCGACUCAGUCGAAUAAAAUUCUAGGUAGAAUUAUGAUAAUGACAUUGUCUGCCUAUGUGUCUUGACCAAAUUACGUGCCAGCAGUCGCGGUAAUACGUAGAAGACUAGUGUUAUUCAUCUUUAAUAGGUUUAAAGGGUACCUAGACGGUAAAUCAAGCCUUCAAGGGGACUAAUUUACUAGAGUUACUUGUGAGGGGGUAUUAAAGUACUGCUGGUGUAGAGAUGAAAUUCUUUUAUACCUCUUUCUGGAAGGAAAAUAACGGCACAGGUAUAGGCGAAAGCAUCCCCUUAUGUGAUAACUGACGUUGAAGGACGAAGGCUUUGUGUAGCGAACAGGAUUAGAUACCCCAGUAGUCAAAGGAGAAAAUGAUGAAUGUCAUAGAUUAGACAUAUAAUGGUUUAUUCUAUAAAUGAAAGUGUAAGCAUUCCACCUCAAGAGUAAUUUGGCAACAUUGGAACUGAAAUCAUUAGACCGUUUCUGAAACCAGUAGUGAAGUAUGUUGUUUAAUUUGAUAAUCCGCAAAAAACCUUACCACAAUUUGAAUAUUUAUAUUUUCUUUAAGAUAAAGAUAUAUUUACAAGCGUUGCACGGCUGUCUACAGUUAAUGCCGUGAGAUUCUGGUUAGUUCCAUUAAUUAACGUAAACCCUUACUUUAUUUUUAUAUAUAGUAGUUCUCCGCAAGAUUGGAUAAGAUAACAGGGACUAAGACAAGUCAUCAUGGCCUGAAUAUUGUGGGCUAUAGACGUGCCACAUAAACCUUACAAAAGGAUGUGAAAUUGUGAAAUUGAGCUAAUCCUCCAAAAUUGGAUAUACACUAACAA
rnacentral:rRNA from 1 species